rnacentral:rRNA from 1 species
GAUGAACGCUGGCGGCGUGCCUAAUACAUGCAAGUCGAGCGAACGGACGAGAAGCUUGCUUCUCUGAUGUUAGCGGCGGACGGGUGAGUAACACGUGGAUAACCUACCUAUAAGACUGGGAUAACUUCGGGAAACCGUAGCUAAUACCGGAUAAUAUUUUGAACCGCAUGGUUCAACAGUGAAAGACGGUCUUGCUGUCACUUAUAGAUGGAUCCGCGCUGCAUUAGCUAGUUUGUAAGGUAACGGCUUACCAAGGCAACGAUGCAUAGCCGACCUGGGAGAGUGAUAGGCGGCAUGAGAGCGGAGACGGGGUCACUAGGCCUGAGAGAGGGACCAGAAGGGUACCUGACGCAGUGGGCGAAAGCCUUGCGGAACGAGGGAGCGUGAGUUAUGGAGGUCUUCGGUUCGGGAAACUCGGUUAUUGGUGGAGAACAUAUGUGUAAGUAAAAGUGCAGAUCGUGACGGUACCUGAUGAGAAAGCCACGGCUAACUACGUG